GGGGGGAGCGAGCGUUGUUCGGAAUCACUGGGCGUAAAGGGCGCGUAGGCGGCCGGAUAAGUCAUGUGUGAAAGACCGGGGCUCAACUCCGUGUAUUGCAUGCGAUACUGCCCGGCUAGAGUAAGGUAGAGGCGAGUGGAAUUCCCGGUGUAGCGGUGGAAUGCGUAGAUAUCGGGAAGAACACCUGUGGCGAAGGCGGCUCGCUGGGCCUUUUCUGACGCUGAAGCGCGAAAGCGUGGGGAGCAAACAGGAUUAGAUACCCUGGUAGUCCACGCCGUAAACGAUGGGCAUUAGGCGUUGGGAGGAUUGACCCUCUCAGUGCCGUAGCUAACGCGUUAAAUGCCCCCGCCUGGGGAGUACGGCCGCAAGGCUG
rnacentral:rRNA from 1 species